UCUAUGGACUCGACUCUUG
rnacentral:rRNA from 1 species